rnacentral:siRNA from 1 species
UAUGUUGAUGAUAUUGUGUUUGGA